CCAGAGCAGGGCCGGGGCAGAGCCUGACUGGCUCCCUGAAGCCUCCGGGGCGGCUUCGCCAGAACGCACUUCCGCGGCAGCGGAGGGAGACCAGGAGACGCUGCUCCGAGUGGGCGAUCGGGAUGCCCGGGCCGUGAGGAAUCGGUCCAGAUUAUCUCUGCUUUGUGUGCAGAUGUGCUCCUGUUUCGUCUGAGCUCGCUAAGCUGAUUUCGAAGGAUCAGGAAUCAGUGGCAUAGGACAGGCUGUUUGGAGAAACACUGAUUACUUUGAAAUUGUGAGUAUCUGUUCCCCAUCUCUGGAAACAAGAAUGAAAUU